rnacentral:rRNA from 1 species
GAUGAACGCUGGCGGCGUGCCUAAUACAUGCAAGUCGAGCGAACAGACGAGGAGCUUGCUCCUCUAACGUUAGCGGCGGACGGGUGAGUAACACGUGGAUAACCUACCUAUAAGACUGGGAUAACUUCGGGAAACCGGAGCUAAUACCGGAUAAUAUAUUGAACCGCAUGGUUCAAUAGUGAAAGACGGUUUUGCUGUCACUUAUAGAUGGUUCCGCGCCGCAUUAGCUAGUUGGUAAGGUAACAGCUUACCAAGGCAACGAUGCGUAGCCGACCUGAGAGGGUGAUCGGCCACACUGGAACUGAGACACGGUCCAGACUCCUACGGGAGGCAGCAGUAGGGAAUCUUCCGCAAUGGGCGAAAGCCUGACGGAGCAACGCCGCGUGAGUGAUGAAGGUCUUCGGAUCGUAAAACUCUGUUAUUAGGGAAGAACAAAUGUGUAAGUAACUAUGCACGUCUUGACGGUACCUAAUCAGAAAGCCACGGCUAACUACGUG